AGAGUUUGAUCCUGUCUCAGGACGAACGCUGGCGGCACGCUUAACACAUGCAAGUCGAACGAGAGAAGAGGAGCUUGCUUUUCUGAUCUAGUGGCGGACGGGUGAGUAACACGUGAGCAAUCUGCCUUUCAGAGGGGGAUACCGAUUGGAAACGAUCGUUAAUACCGCAUAACAUAAUUGAACCGCAUGAUUUGAUUAUCAAAGAUUUAUCGCUGAAAGAUGAGCUCGCGUCUGAUUAGCUAGUUGGUAAGGUAACGGCUUACCAAGGCGACGAUCAGUAGCCGGACUGAGAGGUUGAUCGGCCACAUUGGGACUGAGACACGGCCCAGACUCCUACGGGAGGCAGCAGUGGGGAAUAUUGCACAAUGGAGGAAACUCUGAUGCAGCGAUGCCGCGUGAGGGAAGAAGGUUUUAGGAUUGUAAACCUCUGUCUUCAGGGACGAAAAAAGACGGUACCUGAGGAGGAAGCUCCGGCUAACUACGUGCCAGCAGCCGCGGUAAUACGUAGGGAGCGAGCGUUGUCCGGAAUUACUGGGUGUAAAGGGAGCGUAGGCGGGAUCGCAAGUCAGAUGUGAAAACUAUGGGCUUAACCCAUAAACUGCAUUUGAAACUGUGGUUCUUGAGUGAAGUAGAGGUAAGCGGAAUUCCUAGUGUAGCGGUGAAAUGCGUAGAUAUUAGGAGGAACAUCAGUGGCGAAGGCGGCUUACUGGGCUUUAACUGACGCUGAGGCUCGAAAGCGUGGGGAGCAAACAGGAUUAGAUACCCUGGUAGUCCACGCCGUAAACGAUGAUUACUAGGUGCGGGGGGACUGACCCCUUCCGUGCCGCAGCAAACGCAAUAAGUAAUCCACCUGGGGAGUACGACCGCAAGGUUGAAACUCAAAGGAAUUGACGGGGGCCCGCACAAGCAGUGGAGUAUGUGGAUUAAUUCGAAGCAACGCGAAGAACCUUACCAGGUCUUGACAUCGUAUGCAUAGCUCAGAGAUGAGUGAAAUCUCUUCGGAGACAUAUAGACAGGUGGUGCAUGGUUGUCGUCAGCUCGUGUCGUGAGAUGUUGGGUUAAGUCCCGCAACGAGCGCAACCCUUACUGUUAGUUGCUACGCAAGAGCACUCUAGCAGGACUGCCGUUGACAAAACGGAGGAAGGUGGGGAUGACGUCAAAUCAUCAUGCCCCUUAUGACCUGGGCCUCACACGUACUACAAUGGCUGUCAACAGAGGGAAGCAAAGCCGCGAGGUGGAGCGAACCCCUAAAAGCAGUCUUAGUUCGGAUUGUAGGCUGCAACCCGCCUACAUGAAGUCGGAAUUGCUAGUAAUCGCAGAUCAGCAUGCUGCGGUGAAUACGUUCCCGGGCCUUGUACACACCGCCCGUCACGCCAUGGGAGUCGGUAACACCCGAAGCCUGUAGUCUAACCGCAAGGAGGACGCAGUCGAAGGUGGGAUUGAUGACUGGGGUGAAGUCGUAACAAGGUA
rnacentral:rRNA from 1 species